rnacentral:rRNA from 1 species
UAGUCUCGCACAGAUGCAUAUCAAUAAGCGGAGGAAAAGAAACUAACAAGGAUUCCCUCAGUAACGGCGAGUGAAGCGGGAAGAGCUCAAAUUUGAAAUCUUGAAAGGUCACCUUUCACGAAUUGUAGUUUAAAGAAGUGUUUUCUGUUACGAUCGUAAUAUAAGUUCUUUGGAAUAGGACAUCACAGAGGGUGAGAAUCCCGUCUAUGAUUGCGAUUUGUAGCUUUGUGAUACACUUUCAAAGAGUCGGGUUGUUUGGGAAUGCAGCCCAAAACGGGAGGUAAAUUUCUUCUAAGGCUAAAUAUUGGCGAGAGACCGAUAGCGAACAAGUACCGUAGAGGGAAAGAUGAAAAGAACUUUGAAAAGAGAGUUAAAUAGUACGUGAAAUUGUCAAAAGGGAAGCGUUUAACACCAGUGUUGUUUUCUGAAAAUCAACCUCUGUUAGCUUUAUGCAUGUUUGUUUAGACCUAAUCAGCUAUCUUGCAUGUUCUAUUGUUUGCAGUGGUGCACUUUUCAGUUUACAGGUCAACAUCAGUUUUUUUUACCGUAAAAAAGUUAAAGAAAGGUAGCUCAUGGCUCCGGUCGUGAGCGUUAUAGUCUUUUUCCUAUGCGGUAGGAGGAGACUGAGGUCUGCAGUGUAGGCUAUUUGGCUAGAUACUCAGGUGCUAUGUGAUACCAUUUCAUAAACAACUUGUUUAUUAUGUUUUGUCUAUUGCAUACUCGCUUGUACUAUCAUACCUACGCUUAGGAUGUUGAGUCGUAGAGCACGCAG